UAUUGACCAUGCCAAGCCUUUGACUGUGUGGAUCACAAUAAAAUGUGGAAAAUUCUGAAAGAGAUGGGAACACCAGACCACCUGAUCUGCCUCUUGAGAAACCUAAGAAUGCACGUCAAGAAGCAACAGUUAGAACUGGACAUGGAACAGCUUUUUCCAAAUUGGGAAA